ACCUGCGGAAGGAUCAUUACAGAGUUCAUGCCCUUCGGGGUAGACCUCCACCCUUGCAUACCUUACCUUUGUUGCUUUGGCGGCCCGCCUCACCUUGUGUGAGGCCACUGGUCUUGGCCGGUGCGUGACCGUCGAAGGUUAUCAACUCUAUAAUUUAUGUCGUCUGAGUACUAUAAAAUAGUUAAAACUUUCAACAACGGAUCUCUUGGUUCUGGCAUCGAUGAAGAACGCAGCGAAAUGCGAUAAGUAAUGUGAAUUGCAGAAUUCAGUGAAUCAUCGAAUCUUUGAACGCACAUUGCGCCCCCUGGCAUUCCGGGGGGCAUGCCUGUUCGAGCGUCAUUAACACCACUCAAGCUCAGCUUGGUAUUGGGUCACGCCAGCAAUGGUGAACCUCAAACUCAGUGGCGGCACCGUUGGGUCCCGAGCGUAGUAAAUAUCUCGCUGAGGGUUCCCUCCGGUUGGCGACCAACAACCCAAUUUUCUAAGGUUGACCUCGGAUCAGGUAGGAAUACCCGCUGAACUUAAGCAUAUCAAUA
rnacentral:rRNA from 1 species